rnacentral:rRNA from 1 species
UUGACCCCGGAUCAGGUAGGACUACCCGCUGAACUUAAGCAUAUCAAUAAGCGGAGGAAAAGAAACCAACAGGGAUUGCCCC